UGAAAUGUUUAAAUGUUUUAAAUGUAUUACAUUAAAAUCAGUCAAUAGAGUUUAAUAUGGUUCAUAGGGGAUUAAAUAAUUCUAUAGGUCGAACAACAAAUCUUGGUCAUUGGGUUAAUAAAGUUCAUUAAAAUUAUAAAUAUUUUUUUUACUGUACACAUUAGAGUAGCAUGGUUAGCUCACAACCUAAUCCCAGGGGUCGUCCAUCUUGACAUUUUGGUAAUUGCAAAGAUUGUUACCAACUACUUAGCGCAAUCGAAAAGAAAAAAGGGGCAUGAUGUAAAUUCGUCCCCGCAGAGUGAAGCCACGGGCUAGUGAGACGAGAAAACGGACGAGCCCUGUGACGGUUGUAAAAGCUGCCUGAGAGUAAUUAUGCCCAAUAAGAGUUUUACCAGUGGGUAGCGGACAUAUGGCAACAUGCAGAAGGUAAAUACUUCUGUGUGUGUAUUUUUGCACUGCUUCAUCAAUAUGUAGUGUGUUAAAGUGAGAUGCUAAUCGCAAUUAGUGCACUAGCAAUCUGAGCAACGUUUCAGAGUAGUUUCAGCUAAUGUUACUGUGUGUAACUAGCAUGUGUUAAUGUUUCCAGCUAGUUUAGAGCGCAAACGAACUUAGCAUGAUACGUAAAGGUGCUUUGGAAUGAGUAACGUGACUGAGAAAACUGUCAUGUACACUCAUUAGACAGAGAGGACAAGGAAACGCUCUUUGGACUAUAGAAGAGUAGAAGUCUCCCACUCAGCCAUCACUUCGUCUGGACUGUUGACGCCAGCCAGCUUGUAAUUCCACUCAUCAUUCCCAGGUCAUCACAACUGCUGCUCUCAGAUGUUUUGGGAAUGACGUUUUUACCACAAGAUCCUCAGGGGCAAUCAAGCAUUGUAACAAGGUUUAUGGGGAAGAACAGGCAACCAACAGAGAGACAAGUACAUCACUAUUGGCAAACUGAGAUGGGAAUAUACUCUUCUAAAGACAUGUCAACAUCAUCAUCAUCUUCAAUCAAUCCUUUAUUUAAUAAAAUGGAGAACAUUGAGGGAAAAUACACCCCUGACCCUUAGACAUGUCAUAACAGGGUAAACGCAGCUGUAGUUCAUAUAAUUAUUGGAUGGUUGGUUUGAUUUUGGUGUACAAACAGCUUUUUUUUUUCUUUUCUUUUGUAGCUACAACUGUGUUUAUCUUGCUAUGAUACAUCUGUGAAAAGUGUCCAUUGUUGUGAAUCUACUUUUCCUUCUCAAAGCUGGCCGUACUCUGUGUUCACAUUGCCAGAAUGUCUAAUGGCAAAUUUCAGUAGAGACAAUUUAAAUAGAGUUCGUUUAAGUUUGUUUAAAGCUUGUUUAAAGGAACGGUAAAAAUGAUAUUCUACU